AUGAGCUGCUGCUGCUGCAGCUGCUUCGGCUUCCUCAGCAAGCUGCACCACCGCCCCGCCGCCGGAGACAGCGACGGCGCGCCGUCCAAGGUCCUGCUUUUGCCGAGGUCCAGCGACGGCGGCAGCUUCUACGCCGGGGACAACAGCAGCAGCUUCCUCGGCGACGAGAGCAGGAGCUUCUACGAGAGGGAAGAGGAGGACUACCUCCUCCGCCAGAGCGACGGCGACGACGAGCCGCCCCGCAAGCGGUCCGAGGACAUCAUACUCUCCCGGGCCCGGAACGGCUUCGCCUGCAGGGACAGCCUCGUCAGGGACACCAGGAAGCUCUUCCGCUCAGAGGACGAAACAACCGGCUGUAAGAUGAUCAACCAGUAUGUUCACCUGGGCAAGAUUGGUGCUGGGAGCUAUGGCAAAGUGGUUAAAUACCGAAACAUCAAGGACGGAAGGUUAUAUGCAAUAAAGGUGUUGAGUAAACCCUACAUGUUGAAAGUGCGUGUUGUGCAGUCAGAAACGGCCAUGACAGAUGUUCUUCGGGAAGUAUCCCUCAUGAAAAUGUUGGAUCAUCCCAAUAUAGUAAAUCUCAUUGAGGUGAUUGACGACCCAAACACAGAUAAAUUCUACAUGGUUCUUGAGUAUGUUGAGGGGAAAAUGGUGUGCAAUAACGGCAUAGGUUUAGGAGAAGCUACUUCCAGGAAGUACUUGCGGGACAUUGUCUCUGGUGUUAUGUAUCUUCACUCUCAUAACAUUAUUCAUGGUGAUAUUAAACCAGACAACCUCUUGGUCACAAGUACUGGCAAUGUGAAGAUAGGGGACUUCAGUGUUAGCCAGAUAUUUGAGGAUGACGAUGAUAUGCUUUGGAGGUCUCCGGGUACUCCAGUUUUCACUGCACCAGAGUGCUGUCAAGGUUCAGCCUACCAUGGCAGAACAGCUGAUACAUGGGCAGUCGGUGUUACCCUGUAUUGCAUGAUCACCGGGAAAUAUCCAUUCCUUGGAGAAACUCUGCAGGAAACUUACGACAAGAUCGCCAAUGAUCCGGUGGAAAUACCCGGCGACACGAGCCCCCAGCUCGCCGACUUGAUGCAGAGGCUGCUCUACAAAGAUCCGGGAGAUCGUAUGACCCUGCAGGCCGUGGCCGCGCAUCCCUGGGUCGCCGGGGCCGAGGGUCCGGUCCCUGAGUUUGUGUGUAGGUGCGGUUUCGGUCGCAGGAACAGGAGUGAUUCGCAGGAGGCGGUGCAAUAA
rnacentral:rRNA from 1 species